rnacentral:rRNA from 1 species
UGGGCGGAUUAGUGGCGAACGGGUGAGUAACACGUGAGUAACCUGCCCUUGACUCUGGGAUAAGCCCGGGAAACUGGGUCUAAUACCGGAUAGGAACGCCUAUCGCAUGAUGGGUGUUGGAAAGAUUUUUCGGUCAUGGAUGGACUCGCGGCCUAUCAGCUUGUUGGUGAGGUAAUGGCUCACCAAGGCGACGACGGGUAGCCGGCCUGAGAGGGUGACCGGCCACACUGGGACUGAGACACGGCCCAGACUCCUACGGGAGGCAGCAGUGGGGAAUAUUGCACAAUGGGCGAAAGCCUGAUGCAGCGACGCCGCGUGAGGGAUGACGGCCUUCGGGUUGUAAACCUCUUUCAGUAGGGAAGAAGCGAAAGUGACGGUACCUGCAGAAGAAGCACCGGCUAACUACGUGCCAGCAGCCGCGGUAAUACGUAGGGUGCGAGCGUUAUCCGGAAUUAUUGGGCGUAAAGAGCUCGUAGGCGGUUUGUCACGUCUGUCGUGAAAGUCCGGGGCUUAACCCCGGAUCUGCGGUGGGUACGGGCAGACUAGAGUGCAGUAGGGGAGACUGGAAUUCCUGGUGUAGCGGUGGAAUGCGCAGAUAUCAGGAGGAACACCGAUGGCGAAGGCAGGUCUCUGGGCUGUAACUGACGCUGAGGAGCGAAAGCAUGGGGAGCGAACAGGAUUAGAUA